rnacentral:rRNA from 1 species
UGCGCAAUGGGCGAAAGCCUGACGCAGCAACGCCGCGUGAGCGAAGAAGGCCUUCGGGUUGUAAAGCUCUGUCAGGGGGAAAGAAGGCACCUGGGUUAAUAGCCCAAGGGCUGACGGUACCCCCAGAGGAAGCCACGGCUAACUACGUGCCAGCAGCCGCGGUAAUACGUAGGUGGCGAGCGUUGUCCGGAAUCAUUGGGCGUAAAGAGCGCGUAGGUGGCUUGUCAGGUCCGAUGUGAAAACCUGGGGCUCAACUCCAGGCCUGCAUCGGAAACCGGCUUGCUAGAGUCUGGGAGAGGAGAGUGGAAUUCCUGGUGUAGCGGUGAAAUGCGUAGAUAUCAGGAGGAACACCGGUAGCGAAGGCGGCUCUCUGGAACAGUACUGACGCUGAGGCGCGAAAGCUAGGGGAGCGAACAG